GACGAACGCUGGCGGCGUGCUUAACACAUGCAAGUCGAACGAUGAAGCCGGAGCUUGCUCUGGUGAAUUAGUGGCGAACGGGUGAGUAACACGUGAGUAACCUGCCCUUGACUCUGGGAUAACUGCUAGAAAUGGUAGCUAAUACCGGAUACGACCCUCGGAGGCAUCUCCAGGGGGUGGAAAGAAUUUCGGUCAAGGAUGGACUCGCGGCCUAUCGGCUAGUUGGGGAGGUAACGGCUCACCAAGGCGACGACGGGUAGCCGGCCUGAGAGGGUGAGCGGCCACACUGGGACUGAGACACGGCCCAGGCUCCUGCUGGAGGCAGCAGUGGGGAAUAUUGCACAAUGGGAGCAAGCCUGAUGCAGCAACGCCGCGUGAGGGAUGACGGCAUUCGGGUUGUAAACCUCUUUUAGUAGGGAAGAAGCGAAAGUGACGGUACCUGCAGAAAAAGCACCGGCUAACUACGUGCCAGCCGCCGCCGUAA
rnacentral:rRNA from 1 species